UAUAAAAUAAUUUUAAUUUUAAUUAAAUUUAAUUUAUUAAAAUAUAAAUUAAAUUUUUAUUUUUAUUUUUUACAUGUAACAAAUAUUCACAUAUAAAAAUAAUAUAAUACCUGAUACAUUAAUAAACGAAUAUUAAUAUAUUCACUAUCCGCAAUACAUGAAUGCAUGAAGGUUUAAACCCUUUUUUGGUCCCUAAGUUAAGUUCUGAUGUUCAGUUUAGUCCCUGCUUUUAAAAAUGUCAACCUUUAGUCCCUAUGAUAUGAAAAAUGUAUCAAAUCAGUCCUCAUG
rnacentral:lncRNA from 1 species